GCAGCGGGCUCCGGUUGUGAAUGGUAAUCUUAUGCUGCGCUCCAGACAACUCGAAAACUUCCAACCUCCUUCUAGAAAAAGUGCAGUGGUACGCCACUCAUAGUCGAGUAGAGUUCCUACUUCUGGACUCGAGGCAAAUUCUUUCACCCCGACUUCAUGAAGAAGCAGUUGUCUGACGUCACAUAACAAUGGCAGCACCCAUGGAAGUGCACAUUAGGCUGCAUUUCAAUCAAUAGGGGUAGGGUGUAUUUGUAGACUACACUAUUGUAUUAGGCUAGUGACUGGAAUAUGAAGAUACGAUUCCGAGUAUAAAAGUGGUAAAAUAAUAUAUAUAAUGGCGUCUGUUCACGCGUCGUUGUUUCCUCCUCUGUUUCGUUUAUAUAUGCAAAGAGGCUGCACUGAGAGUUCAACGAAGUACAGACUGUCUUUAGUGUCAGGAACCAGUCACAUGAGAAACAGAGGCAGAACAGAGUGUUCAGGAUGCAGUGGCUGACAGAAAUAAACAAAACAUAUGAAUAAUUUUUUUAAUUGAGUGGUACUCUGUUUUAAUCAUGCAACUCAUGGAGGAUUGUCAGUAAAGCUUCAAAACAUCUUAAAAUAUCUGAGCAUCUUGUUUUUUCUUUAUUGGGUCUGAUAAUGUUUGAUUGAUUGCAUACUACCUUUACAUAGUGCCCUACAUGACGAGCUACAGUAUAUGAGACACAAUUAGAACCCAUUAAGUAGUAAUCAGUGGAUGUGAUUGUUGUGUCAAAAAAUUACUAAAACAAAGCUUUAGACAUUUAUAUUCAUAAAGCAUACACAGACAUAUUUCACUGAGCAAUAAGCAGCCUCCUGGGGCGUCGAGGUGGCUCAGCUGGCAUGUCACCCCCUUUGUCUCUCCCAAUUAUUUCUGUCUCUCUCUGCUGUGAACUAUCAGAUAAAGGUAAAACUACAAAAAUCAGCAGCCUGUGAUCAGUGGUGCUCAUGCACACAUCUCCAGAAGGCAGUAGAUCCCACUGGGAGUGAUCAUAAUCGUGAGCAAAAUGUCAAUGCCAUUGUGUCAGCAUGUGUUAAGGGACUGGUUGAACAACUUUGUCCACUAAUGGACACACUAAGCAUAUCUGCAACAAUGAUGAUGGACAUACAUGACAGGCAAUGAUUCAAACAUCCAGCUCUGGUACAUUUUCUUCUCAUUUUGGGUAUAAAUAGACACUGCAUGUCUUUCUUCUUUGACAGUGGUAGUUUUUGAGGUACAUUAAAAUGCAACAAUGUCAGUAGACGAGUACUAGAUAUUAAAACAGCAGCUUUUUUCUUCUUUUUUUUUGCCAGGACUGUCUUCAGAUGUGAGGUGGAGUGAUUCCCGAAGAAAUUGAUUAUUUCCGGGUUUGACAGCACAGAGAGCAAUUCAAUUUAGAGUGAGAAAAUUGUUCUACCAUUGGAGGAGGUGAGAUGAGGACGAGCCACAAGUCAAGCGUGACGUGUAGGUUACUACAGCGAUUGGGGGAGGAAAGCAGCCUUUAGUAGCAGAGCAUGCAGGGCACAGACUGUGAGGAGCUAUAGUUUGUCAAAAGAUAGCAGUUUUCUAAGCAAUGCUGUCACCAUUUCAGAGUCAGUUUGUUUUAGUGUCAGUUUACUCUCAGUGCCUUUACAAUGUUGUCCUACAAUGUAUCUCAGUAGCAAAAAUACAGCUGGUAUAUUCUACAGUAAUGUCCCCACCAAGAUAUAUUCCUGUAUUUGUGCUAUGUAGAAUAAUGCAUUUUUAUCUCUGCUUGUCUAGUUUAAAUAGAAAAUGCAGUCUCUACAAGAACAUAGCUACUGUAUCAUUAUUUUAUUUGUCAUAUUUAUUCACUCCAUCGCUUCCAGAAGCACAGUCUUUUUAAUCUCAGUCUAUUUUAUUUAAUCUCAAAUAGGUCAUCACAAUGGCAAUUCAAAUGUGCUGUACUAAACAGAUACUAUGCCUAUGUUUAAUUGUCAUUUUUGGCUUUAGACUGCAUUAUUGCAGGACACUGACAACUGUCAGAAAAACAUCAAAAGUGGUUGACAUACAGUACAUGACUAACCACACUGCCAUCUAGUGAUGCCAUAUGUAUUUAAACUUGCUGAAAUAAACAAAUGACUAAAAAGGAGCAUACAGUACUGACAUGAUACCUCACUGCACCAGACUACAUCUAUUGGCAAACUGCAAGCAAAGCCAAAGUUUGAAAAUAAGCAAACAUAAUUUCAAAAGUUUGAAAUAAAAGAGUGCAAAAGGCACAAAUCAAAAUUAAGAUCAGACAAUCUUCUGAUAGAACGUGUCUCAUCAACGCAUCACCAUGAAUAGUGGGUGACUGUAGUGAACACCUCCAUACUUUAUUUUGGAUAUCACUGUCAGCAACAGUUUAACUCAUCCUGUAGACUUUGAUCAACAUGUCACAUGCAGAAAAGCACUUAUCACUGCUUCCCUACUGUCUUAGUAAAGAUAACAGCACAUUACUUUAUUUCUACUUACUGUAAAUGAGCAUAUUAGGACUCUGCUGUUUAUUUUCUUUCCAUUACAUGUAAAUGAGAGGCACUAGGAGAUGAAUGGACUCAUAGAGGCACAAACCGUUUUCUGGCCUAAGUAAAGUUCACAGAUCCCUCAUAUACUGAUGGCUAACUUUAACCUCUGCGUUCACAGCUCCACUAUUUACUUUAGUUUCUGGAUGCAGUCAAUGGUCUGCAGGAAGCAUUGGUCCAGAACGAGGGAAUACCUCUGAGGAGAAGGAUGGAGAAAGGAGUCAUUCAAACCUGGAAUGACAAAUAGGUGAGGCUGUUUACGUAUGCUGUGUUUACAUAAGUUUGUGUUUGGUUUGGUGGGUUAUUGGGCAUUUUGGAAUAAAUCUACACCUUUCUGCGUAAUACAGCUACAUAAAACAAUAUUAAAAUUGUUUGGUGAAGUGUAAUUUAUUUGAAAGUGAUGACACUUUGUAAUGACUGAAGUCAACAAGAGCAGUCAUAUAAAUCUAUGACAUUGGUUAGUAACUGAAAGUACACAUUAAAAUUUGUAUUGAACAGCAAUAAGCUUUAUUUAAAAUCCAAAAGCUGGUAAUGUUGGCCUCGCUCCUAUCAACUAUUACAUAUUCAAAAUAAAAGCUUUAGAUGACACAUUUGGGAAAAUAUUCUAAAUACUCACAAACACUGACUUCAUUUUUAUAUUAAGUUGUGUUAUGGCAGAUUUAAAAAACAACCAAACAAAAAUGUAUUAAGUUCAACAUUUUCCCUGGAAUCAGAUGCAGUUAGGGACCAUGACAAGUAUUUGCUCCAUCAACACCCUUUCUGACGCACAUUGCUACAUUUGAUACAUAUUUGGCAAUGCCGCAGGGCAUGUAGUCAUAAGGCUCACGGUAUCUCAUCUCCAAUGACACAUCUCACUCUGCUACAUUAAAGGGUGCCUCACCUUCUAUCCAGGAGGUAUUCAAUACAAGCUGUUUUUUGUUACUCUGAGCAUAAAGGCUUUCUUCAUCACGUCCAAACUCUGAUAUUUUUGUCUUGUGGCACUUUCUCACUCAGUCCAAUGGGGACCUGCCAAUCUCCCACAGGGUCCUGGAAGAAAUAGUGCGGUAUUUGAAGCAGCACACUAACUCAGCCAUGGUUUUAAAUUAAGCGUGAUGUGUGGGGGGGGGGGUUGGGCUCUGCUGAAAUCCUUUUGGCUACAUCGGAAGAAAAUAACUCGGAUGUUAGUAUGAAUGUUAGUAUGAAUGUAGAGGCCACUCCCACCAGGCUACGCACAUCCAGACAACCUUGAGAUUAAGAAGCUAAGAUCUCAUACUGUACAUACAUGUGACAUGCCCUGGGGGAGUGUAUGGAGGACUACAGUGGGAGUUUGUGUAGCUUGAGUCCGCAUUCAUUUUCAACCACUAUUCCCACACAGCUGGUUUCAAGUCAGAAGUGAUUAGCAGUAAUAUUUAAAUGGAAUAUUGAAGUUUUGGGGAACUUGACGGGGGUGUUUACUAUUUGGAUUGGCCUGUCACACAUUUAUGUACAACCUUCUGGAGCAAAAAAAACCCAAUACUCUAGGAGGGUCAUAGCCAUGAAGAUAAACAAUAUAUUCAAAACAUUUGGUGAAGAUUUGGUUCCCUUUUCAUUGAUUAAAUUGGAUGUCCCAUUAGUUAACAAAAAUACUUCAAAAACAGGCCUUGCUGCUCUCUAUACCUGUAAUGUACUUAAGGUUGCCAGCGAAGGAAAUAGAUAGCUUUAAUAAAAUGUGACAGUGACAUUUAUAAAACAGCAAGCAGACAAGAUAUGAAACCAUGGGGAGAGAUCCUAUCAGCGUCAAACUUUUCUGCAAUCAGUAGGAUGUCUGAUGCCAUCAAGGUACUGAGUGGUUAAGCUGAGGUCAAUGAACGCACAAAGGAACCAUCACAAACUGUCUUUGAGGGUUCAAAUGGA